rnacentral:lncRNA from 1 species
GUGAAGAAGGAUGUAUUUGCUUCCCCUUCUGCCAUGUUUGUAAGUUUCCUGAGGCCUCCCCAGCCCUUCAGAACUGAAUUUCCACCUACCAGUCAACAAAAGCAGCCAGAGCUCCAUCAGUGAAAGCCCAGUGAACCCAUAUGUUGCAAAUGAGUGUCAGUAAUGACAACAGCAGCAAGGGUUUCACAAUCUGUGCGUGAGAAGAAAGUUCACAAAUGCAAUCGGAAAUGAGGGGUGACAGAGCAAGACUCCAUCUCGGGGGUAGCGGGGAGAGGGGAAAGAAUGGUGGCUAGUCAAACAGUCCUUUCCAGUAACAAGGUCUCAGGCACCCAUCUCAGAAGAUUUAUUACAUGCUGCCCCCACCAUUGACCCCAAAGGAGACUGACUCUGCAAACAGCUCAAAUCAUAGUCAUCCUCUUCAUUUCCUGUGUGUCCCUCCCACUCCUCUCACUAACACGUAAUACCAUAGCCACAUCAGUCAGUGGUUAGGAUGCUGGGUUAAUUUUACUCCCAAGGAAAGUGACGCCUGAGAGAAAGAGCCAUUUGUUUGUCUUUUUAAUUUCAGCUUCUUCCUAAAUAAGACAGCCUUUUAGAAAGACUUUCACAGUGUCAGGUUAGUUACCUAAAUCUUAGGUAACUUUAGGUUAGUUACCUAAAGUCACUCUGUGACUUCAUCCUGAUAUAAAGGAACAAGGAAGAGAGUCGGAUUAGGCUAACUCACUAUGAUGGGGUAACACAUAGAAAAGGCACGGAGAAGUUAAGUGAUUUGCCUGUGGUCACAAAGCCUGUUAGCAGCAAACCCAGAACAAGAACCUAAGAUUUAUGACCGCCAGUUCCAGCUGUUUUUCUUCGUCAUGUAUCCUCAGCAAUCAACAUAAUCAAAAUCUGUUUGGAGGCUUAUGACUUUCAGACUACUGAUUUGUAUAAAGGAAGAUAACACCGAACAACCAAACAGGAAGUAAUCCAGCGAAUCUGGAACAGCGGUGGAAUUUAGAAGCAAGGCCAGAUGAGGACCCUAAGACCUAGAGAAACUAAGUCAUUUGCUCAAGAAGACAAAGGUAAUCAUCAGAAAUCAACAUGAGAUUUCAGCUCUCCUGAUCCUUAGUACAACAUGUGAAAGAAGAUAUGUUGUCUUUACUCACAGUGGAGGCAUUUUUCUAGCUGUGUUUGAUUUGGCUUCCCUAUAGAUUCAGGACCCAUAACUCUUGUUCUCACUCAUCUGCUAUGCUGCUGAUAAGGACUUUCAGGUCAACAGCUGUAACUGCUAAAUGAAGUUAAUACUCUGGAAAAAAAAAAAAAAAAAAAACCAGAAGGAACAGAGACCAAAAGAUUGAAAGCCAUUUGGAAAUUUCUUGAGUGGUGUCUGGCAGGUCUUUUAUGAAGAUUAUCAUAAACCAGGAAAAAAAAAAAAAACGCCUGCUGACUGUGUUAUCUGUAGUGCCUAUUGCCUAUUUUGGCUGAUUCAUUGAUGGUGUAACAGAUAACAGAAUGAAAGGAAAUGGUUUGGUUUCUAUAAAGGAAAAAGAAUGGUUUGUAUAAGGAAACCAUUAGUUUCCUGAGAUUGCUAUACCAAAUUAUCAAAACUUGGUGUCUUAAAACAAUAGAAAUUUUUUCUCCCACAGUUCUGGAGGCCAGAAACUCAAAAUCAGUAUUUGGCGGCUGAAAUCAAGGUGUUGGCAGCACCCUCUGGAGGCUCUCGGACAGAAUCUGUCCCUUGUGUCUAACAGAUUCUGCUGGCUGCUGGCAUUCCUUGACUUGUGGUCGUAUCAUUCCCAUCUCCUCCUCCAUAGUCAUAACGCUUUCUCCUCUUCUCUGGCAUUUGCAUCCCUUUUAUAAGACACGUAUGACUGCAUUUAGGGCUCACCAGGAUAAUGCAGGAUAAUCUUCCUAUUUCAGGAUCCUUUGCCACAUCUUCAAAGUCCUUUUUGGCCAAUAAAGUAAUAUUCACAGGCUCCAGGUUUUAGGAUGUGGGUAGUGGUGUUGGGGUGGGGGGCAGAUUUGGGGGUGAACAACCAGCCUACUACUGGUGGGUGACUGGUUAUCCAUCAUUCUUAAGUCAGAAAUGAUGACCCAAAAUCUCUUUUUGCUUUUGCUUCACUCAUUUUGCAUUUAAUUACUAGGCUCUGCUUCUUCAGACACUUUUAUUACAGUUUAGUUUUUGCUACAUCCCUCAAAAAUGUCUUAUUAUUUUCACGGCCUGUCAUUUAGUUAUGUUUUCUUCUAAGUGUUUGGCUGUCUUGGUCAGUGCUCUAAAGGAAUUAAAAUCACUUGGUCAGGGCUCUGAAGUAAUUGGUCAGUGCUCUGAAGUAAUUAAAAUCACUGUGAAGCUGAAUGAAAAAUCAGAAGAAGAAUCAAGAGACCUAUGUUUUGCUUGUUAGGAGAACUGUGUAUCCUUUAUGUCUAUUUUUGGAGUUGGUGGUAAUUUCUGGUCAAGGAAUCAAAUGUUCUUAUUCCUAACCAUAUAGUCAGAUAAGAUGGCUAAGGUGCUUUCAUAAUCACCAUUGAUUCACUGUCAGAUGGGCCCGUGCUCUGUGACAACUUUUCAAUAUUAUAGACUUUACCAAAUAAAAAGGUAUCUCCUCAUUCUGUGCACAGAAAAAGAAAAUGAUGGAUGAGUAUAUUAGCCAGAACCCUGUCGCAGAAAAAUAAGCAUGAGUGUGCCCUUUCAUGCCUCCUGAGAACUCCUGUGCUAGACAGAGCCUGUUCAAGAUGUCUUUUCUGACUUUCUGAUUCCAGUUGACAUCUAGGCAUAUAAGGCAACUUUGUGAUGGGGCCAGAGAGCACCACACAUUGUUGUGUAUGAAAUACUCUAUUCAGCAAACAAGCCGUGCAGCAACAAGACCUAGUGUGGUCAAGGAUGGUGGACUAAAAACCACUAUGAAAGCAGAGAUGUAGCCACCUCUGAGACUGGUUUUCUAAGCAGGAUGACUUGGUUCCAUCCCUACAGGCAUCGUCUGGUCCAGUUCAGCACAGAGCUAGCUGCAAGUGACAACCUAAGAGAAAAGUCAGCGAGAACAAAGAUCCAUCUCUUCGUUGACUGCCUUAAUCCCUAGAGCUGUGUUCUUCAAUUUGUUACUAUUUGCUACAAUUUUUCUGCCUAACAAGCAAGUUCUAUCCUGCCUAGGAGAGAAACUUUUAGUAAAUUCAUCUUCAUUCACUACUAUUCAGCUCAUGCUGUAAAAACUUAGAUAAUGCUGUCUGAAAUACUUAACUCCUGGUCAAAUGCAGCUGCUAUUUCAUUCAGUAUAAUCAAAGAAUAGCCAAGGACUUUAGUUAAUAUUUCUUCAGAUGAUAGAGAAUAAACAAAUUGUUUUGGAUAUAUCUACCAUGCCCUCCAAACAUGAUUGUUGAUAUCUUUUCUAUAUAAAUUACUUUCCUACAUAAAUGGUACUUAGCUUUUCCUUGAAAGAUAUGCUCUUCUCUCCAGCUCAAAGAUAACCCUCUUUCCCUCAAAUUAUAAGUAAUUUAUAUUUAAUAAUCUUUCAUACGAAUUUUUAAAAUUACAAAUGGUAAGGUACCACUAUUUUUUAUUUUGUAACAGCACAAACCAUCAAAUCAGAAAAAAAGAAAGGUUGAGUAUGAUCUCUGAAAAAUGAAUUCUAGUAGCAUGUAUAGCAAAAAUCAUCUUAGAAUGAAUAGAAGCCCUGAAUAACUCAAUGACCACCAGGCUUGUCUGCAUCCACGUUCUACUUGGUUAACUGUUAAAUAAUAUCUAACUUGUUGCAUUGUAAAAACAACAUGUGUCUGUAAACUGAAAAAUAGAUGUUAUUAUCCACCUGGUUUAGUCAUAAUGGAGAAAUGUCCUUCAGUUGCAUGAUGCUCUUCCUAUGAAUGAGGAAACCAGAUCAACAUUUCCAUUCAAGUUCUAGCUUGCCUAUAACAUUUCUUAGCUCCUUUUGCAAACCAAAAGUGGCAGCAGUUGUAACUGAAUUAGUCUAACUGCUCAGACACAUGCAUUUCUGUUUGGUUGCUCUGGUCUCUUCUUGAAGGCCAAGUGCUGUGAUCAUUUAUCAUCAUCAGAAUUGGCUGCCAUAACUCAGUGUUCCCGGGACCUGCAGUGGGCAGAGCACCAGCACAACCCGUAGAAAGCAGCUCCAAGAUCAGCACCCUCUCAUAAACCUACCGAGCCAGGAGCAUCUUCCAGGCCCUCCACUCUCAGGAGUUUCAAGGAGAAAACAAAAUGCUGAGGACUGGGAAUGAGAAGCUUCAACCUUGCACAAUCUCUACAUUUUGCUUUACUCCCAAGAGGGACGAAUGAAGAAUGUUGUUAUUGAUGCUAUGACCACUUCUCUCCCAUAUUGUGCCCAGUAAACAUGGUCUUACUCAUUAUUGAAAUACUAGCAUUCUUCUAUAAUGGUUCGUACACAGCUGCUGCCCAGAGCACUGAAUAACACAUACUACCAGGUGUCAAACCCAGAUUUCCCCAGUCUCUCCUUAAUUUCCAGCAAUAAAAAGAUUAGCCUGGCACAGCAGGUCUUCAGACCCUUUCUGAUUUUGAAUAGUGAUUUGAACACCUCUCCUAGCUGUGUCCCCUUUGGGUUUAAGAAUAAGAUAGAAGAUAUAUUGCUUUCCAUUUUAAAAUGUUUAACUUCUAUUCAAGAAUAAAUAUUGAUGAAGGGCAUCUAGGUACUAGUGAUUUUUCCUGAUGUCCAUUUUGUGAACUUCACAGAAGACUUUGAUUUCACCUUAAAC